rnacentral:lncRNA from 13 species
CUAGAUAACGAGGGAGGGAGAAAUGUGAUGGCGAUAAGCCUCGGGUACCUUGGACCUUGACGGGAAGACAUUGUCACACGGUGUGCCAGGUUGUCCUACACUUGCGGAUCAAGGGUAUCUUUCCUCUGACCCAGCAGGCCACACCAGCCGCCACAGAGGAGGGACCAUGUUGCUGUACCAAGGUCCUGGGAAUACCUAUACUGGGAAUACCACUGCCCCUCUCUAGCUGGAUCAUCUGACACCAACUCCCCCAAGAUUUCCUGACGGAUAUAAUCCAAUUCAUCCCUCCAUAUUUUGGAUAUUCGAAGCAAUAG